AACGAACGCUGGCGGCAGGCCUAACACAUGCAAGUCGAGCGCUACCUUCGGGUGGAGCGGCGACGGGUUAGUAACGCGUGGGAACGUACCCAGAUCUAAGGAAUAGCCACUGGAAACGGUGAGUAAUACCUUAUACGCCCUUCGGGGGAAAGAGUUUUAUCGGAUUUGGAUCGGCCCGCGUUAGAUUAGAUAGUUGGUGGGGUAAUGGCCUACCAAGUCUACGAUCUAUAGCUGGUUUUAGAGGAUGAUCAGCAACACUGGGACUGAGACACGGCCCAGACUCCUACGGGAGGCAGCAGUGGGGAAUCUUGGACAAUGGGCGCAAGCCUGAUCCAGCCAUGCCGCGUGAGUGAUGAAGGCCUUAGGGUCGUAAAGCUCUUUCGCCAGAGAUGAUAAUGACAGUAUCUGGUAAAGAAACCCCGGCUAACUCCGUG
rnacentral:rRNA from 1 species